UGACGUCAAAUCAUCAUGCCCCUUAUGACCUGGGCUACACACGUGCUACAAUGGUUGGUACAACGAGUUGCGAGUCGGUGACGGCGAGCUAAUCUCUUAAAGCCAAUCUCAGUUCGGAUUGUAGGCUGCAACUCGCCUACAUGAAGUCGGAAUCGCUAGUAAUCGCGGAUCAGCACGCCCGCGGUCGAAUACGUUCCGGGCCUU
rnacentral:rRNA from 1 species